AUGGGAACGCGAAGAACCUUACCUACUCUUGACAUCCAGAGAACUUUCCAGAGAUGGAUUGGUGCCUUCGGGAACUCUGAGACAGGUGCUGCAUGGCUGUCGUCAGCUCGUGUUGUGAAAUGUUGGGUUAAGUCCCGCAACGAGCGCAACCCUUAUCCUUUGUUGCCAGCGGUUAGGCCGGGAACUCAAAGGAGACUGCCAGUGAUAAACUGGAGGAAGGUGGGGAUGACGUCAAGUCAUCAUGGCCCUUACGAGUAGGGCUACACACGUGCUACAAUGGCGCAUACAAAGAGAAGCGACCUCGCGAGAGCAUGCGGACCUCAUAAAGUGCGUCGUAGUCCGGAUUGGAGUCUGCAACUCGACUCCAUGAAGUCGGAAUCGCUAGUAAUCGUAGAUCAGAAUGCUACGGUGAAUACGUUCCCGGGGUCUUGUACACA
rnacentral:rRNA from 1 species